rnacentral:rRNA from 1 species
GGAUGCCUACGGGGCGCAGCAGUAGGGAAUUUUCGUCAAUGGGCGCAAGCCUGAACGAGCAAUGCCGCGUGAACGAGGAAGGUCUUCGGAUCGUAAAGUUCUGUUGAAGGGGAAAAAGAGCGGAGAGAGGAAAUGAACUCCGAUUGAUAUUACCCUUCGAGGAAGUCACGGCUAACUACGUGCCAGCAGCCGCGGUAAUACGUAGGUGGCGAGCGUUAUCCGGAUUUAUUGGGUUUAAAGGGUGCGUAGGCGGACUGUUAAGUCAGCGGUAAAAGCCCGGGGCUCAACCCCGGCGAGCCGUUGAA